ACGCUCGACACCUACGGGAGGCAGCAGUGGGGAAUAUUGCACAAUGGGGGAAACCCUGAUGCAGCGACGCCGCGUGAGUGAAGAAGUAAUUCGUUAUGUAAAGCUCUAUCAGCAGGGAAGAAAGUGGACGGUACCUGAGUAAGAAGCCCCCGGNUAACUACGUGCAAGCAGCCGCGGUAAUCUGAGCGGGCUGGCAAGGC
rnacentral:rRNA from 1 species